CCGUGCCCUGGGGUAUCUAAAGAGUGGGGGGCAGUUUUUUCCCCAUUUGCUUCUUCUUCGUGGAACUCGCCCUCCCUACCCCGAGUUUCCUCAGAUUCGAUCUUCCUCCGCGGCCUUCUCUUCCCGUUCCGGUUGGAGGGAUUGCUCCUCCUCCUCCUUCCUCCCCCGUGUGACAUGGACUCCGGUACUAACCCUAUCCCCCUUGUUUUGGGUUGAUGUUCUUGGUUCUAGGGUUAGGGAUAGAUGUAUUGGCUCCAUUGUUGGGGCAUGAUUUUGUUUCCCACAUGGAUUGGAGGAGAGAUGUUAGGAAGUGCCUCUAUUUGCGUUGUUGCUUAUAGUUUUGGGCUUAGAUCCAUAGUUUUGGUCUCUUAUGGUUUCAAAUAUGCAGCUUUGUGGUUAGAUUCGUUCUUGCUCCUCCAGAUCUGGAACCACGCGGUACUACCGCCCUAGCCCGAGCGGUAUUACCGCCAGCUCACGGUACUACCGCCCUAACCGAGCAAUACUACCGCUAGCUCGUGGAGCGGUACUACCGCCCUGGCCGAGCGGUACUACGCUCGUUGAGUGGUACUACCGCCCUGGUCGAGCGGUACUACCGCUAGCACUCGAGUUGUUGCAUAUGCUCACUUCUACUUGGAUUCUUUUGUGUUUUCUCCUUGUUCUGGAUAUUGCCAUGACUUCUCUCGUCGUUUUCACGUGUUUGUGUUGCGUGUCUCAGGUGAUAGCUCUCGUCGUUCCAACCCGGUUCGCAAACACCGAGUCCAACAGGUACCGCAACCCUGAAGAAUCGGAAAGUUCCCGUCCUUCCAAGCGCCCCGUCAAGAAUAUUGUCUCCAAGGACAAGGGAUCCACCAUUGACUUUGACACUAUGCCUCCCAAGGAGUUUUCAAGGCGCCGAAAGCAAAACCCUUAUGUCAAUGAGAGGGAGGUGUUCAGGGGCGGAGAAAUGUACUGGACCAAGCAGCAACUCAUGAUUUAUCAAGAUAUCGUCCUGACUAAGAAGAAGAAGUUUGUUCCCAUGCAAUGGAUUGAUCUCAAUCAUCUCCGGAAGGACCCUGAAUAUUUUGGCGAGGCCCUGCGUAUGAUUGAGGAGCUAGGUAUUGAGGAUAUCACCACCUUUCAAUAUGACUUCGAUGCAGAGGUAGUGGCUCGAUUCUAUACCUCUGUCUUCUUCAACAAUGAUGAGAAUCUCUCUUUGACUUGGAUGACACAUGGCGAGAUGUUGACUGGCUCUUGGGCUGAGUUCAUGAAGCUUUUGAGGAUCAAUUUCACUGGGAUGCAUAAUUCUCUUGGCCUGCACCCUCAUCACAACCCUGACAACGCCCCCAAGGACAAGUUGAUGCCCUUAUAUGUCAGGAAGGGUGUGCUUAUUCCCUUCUUGGAUAUCAUGCAUCGGGUCUUCCGCAACACCUUGUUCCCUCGGAUUGGUAACAAAGACGAAGUUCACUCCUAUCUAGUGGACAUACUCCUGAUGUGUCAGGAAGGACGAAGAAGCCGAAUGGGCCACUCGAUGUGGCAAAUGUGAUGUUCUGCGAGCUUCAGAUGGUCAUAUACAACCGAAGGGUCCCCAUCUAUGGGCCUUACUUGUACUACUAUAUCAAGACUAAAUGGGCUCAGACAUUCCCUGACAGGGCCAUCCUUCACCCACAGAGCUCGUCAGCCAUGAUCCCAUCAAGUUGCGCCAGAAAGAGAAGUGGGCCAACACCUCCACUUCACGCUCUUUUGCUCACAUGGAAGCUGAGGAGGAGGCUAAGGGCGGCCCUGCUUCACAGACCCGUUCUUCUGCUGAGCCAUCUUGGGCCAAGAAGCUGAAGGCACAGAUGGGGUCCCUGCAGGACCAGAUGAAGACCUUGUUCUGCAUGCAGGCAAAAGGACAGUAUCAAACACAUGUGGCUCAGAAGGAGAACCGUCAACAGAAUAAGCGCCUGCUGAGGACGCUUGAUGUGCACGUCUCUAGUGGUUCUGAGGAUGUCAUCACUCCAGAGGCUGCCUGGAUGCAGGCUAGAGACUACAAGUGGGAUGGGACUGAUCAGGAGGUGUUUGACGAAAAAUAUGCAGCAGGGUCUGAUCACGAGGAGCAGCAGGAGGAUGAUGAGGACGAUGAGGACGCUACGGAUGUGUCUGCUAAGCAUGAGGAUGAAUGAGUUGUUCACGUUCUCUCUGCCUUUUUGGUGUCCUGAUGCCAAAGGGAUAGAGAGUGUUAGAGAUUUGCCUUUGGUUUUUCGUUCGUGUUUGAGUAUUUCUCUUCUGAACUUGGUUGGUUUAAGUCUGUUGGAUAUCUUAUUAUGUGUGUGAAGACUCUUUGUCAUAUGGUGUGAGACAUAUGCUAUCUUUAUAUUAUCUCUAAAGUCUCUCUCUAUAUUUAGCAUGUGAGAUCGUUUAUUUUGUGCCUUUAUCUUUAUGCUCACAUGUCUAUGUUUUCAUUAUUAUGUGUUUGUGCAAAUCCGGUGUUGUCAUCAAUCCAUCAAAAAGGGGGAGAUUGUUAGGGCAUAUUUUGUUCUAAGUAGUUUUGCUGAUUGAUGACAGCACCUCUGCGGACUAAUCGUGUGCAUUGAGCAUUUCAAAUAAUACAUCAUAAGGCACAAGAUGAUUCGUCGCCCCUCGGUGUUGUUGGAGCACGGUGUUUCCUACGGCUCUCUUUGGUAGUGUUGAGUAAUAAGAAAGCCGUACUAUUAAGAGAGGGUCCGCGUUGGAAAGGUUUGGGUGGAAUCAACUCUCUCACACACACAUUUUCUUUCCACCACUUCAUCUUUGCGGCAAUGGAGCACCCGCUAGGUCUAUCGGAGCUUUUGCAAAGAGUCCAGCGGUAGUACCGCUCCAGAUGAGCGGUAGUACCGCUAAGGGACGGUAGUACGUACCUCUCGUCAGACUUUUUGCGAAGACUUUUUCAACGAUGGUAGGCUCGGUAGUAGUUCUUCUACUACCGUGGCUUUGUGUCAGCCUAGCGGUAGUACCGCUCAGUCCUGGCGG
rnacentral:lncRNA from 1 species